rnacentral:miRNA from 1 species
UCAAGUUCGCACUUCCUAUACA